CAGGAAACUCAAAUGAAGUUGACGGGGCCCGCACAAGCGGUGGAGUAUGUGGUUUAAUUCGAUGCAACGCGAAGAACCUUACUGGUCUUGACAUCCCGGAGACCCUUUAGGAAACUAGGGGGUGCUUCCAUCUGGAAGAAUCUGGAGACAGGUGGUGCAUGGUUGUCGUCAGCUCGUGUCGUGAGAUGUUGGGUUAAGUCCCGCAACGAGCGCAACCCUUAUCCUUAGUUACCAGCACGUAAAGGUGGGGACUCUAGGGAGACCGCCGGGGACGACUCGGAGGAAGGUGGGGACGACGUCAAAUCAUCAUGCCCCUUAUGUCUUGGGCUACACACGUGCUACAAUGGCCGCAACAGAGGGAAGCGAGAGCGCAAGCUGGAGCAAAACCCUAAAAAGCGGUCCCAGUUCGGAUUGUGGGCUGCAACCCGCCCACAUGAAGUCGGAGUUGCUAGUAAUCGCGAAUCAGCAUGUCGCGGUGAAUGCGUUCCCGGGCCUU
rnacentral:rRNA from 1 species